GUUUACAUCCCUACGUUAUUUAAAUAGGGCGAAACGUCGGGAUGACUCAAAAAAUAAUCAAUUAAUUCAAUUUUAAAAGAAUUUUAAGAAAAUAAGAAUUUUAAAAGAGUCGCCACCUAAUUUUAGGAAAAACUAGGAAACCAAUUAAAAAUGUCUACGAAACCAUAAGAUUCUAAGUAAGGGGUUCAAGUUAUUUCGAAGAGAAGGUGUUAGGCAUCCUUCGAAAUCCAUAACUGUAGGUCCCGACUGAAUUCAUUUUUUCAAAUUGAGAAGGAUGUAAAAAUAUUAUACAAAUAUAACAAACAUGCAAUAUACACAAGUAAUAAAGUAAACAAGUAAAUAUGAGAAACGAUCUAAUAUUUGUCUAUCGUCAACAAUAUACAUAAUAAUGAAUAUAAAAUUCAAACUUUAUUCGAAUGGCUUCGAUGAGAAGUGAGUUCGGAGUACCUGUAAAAACACUUAGUAAAAGUGUUAAUACUAAAUAAAUAUGACUAAAAAUAAAUAAAUUAAACAAUAACUUAAAAAUAAACAUCCGUCUUAUUAACAUGAGAGGCCUUAGAAAUCGACGGUAAUUUCUUCAUCGGCCAAUUUUAUUAAACAAAGAAAUAUGAACUUAACUAAAUUUCCGUCUUUGACAAUGUCGAGGCCUCAAAAAUCGACGAAGAAAUUUUUUCAUUGGCCAAUUUUAAUGAACAAAAUAUAUUAACUUAAACUAAAUUUCCGUCUUUUAAAAUGUGGAGGCCUCGAAACCGACGGGGAGUUUUUUCAUUGGCCAAUUUUAAUGAACAAAAUAUAUUAACUUAAACUAAAUUUUCGUCUUUUAAAAGAAGGCUCGAAAACCGACGGGAAGUUUUUUCAUUGGCCAAUUCUAUAUUUUUCAACCACAAAAUGGCACGAAACAAACAAAAGAACAAUGAAGUAUAAACUAUAUAAGAUGCAACAACCUACUAAUGAAACAUAAUAAAAUGAUAAUAAUUAAAUAAUAAACUAACAUACACCUGUAACUUCUUAGAAAAUAAAUAAAUCUAGAAUAAUCUCAUGCAAACUAAAAUAGGAACAUCAAUAUAAAUUAAAUAAACAACCCCAAACAACAAACCAAAAAUAGAAUGGUUAAGAAAAUAAAAGCAAGUAAAUGAUUAAAGAGAGACUAUCCAGAUCAUUAAAAUAAUAUAAACACAAUCACUAAAAAUUAAAGUAACCGCAAAAUUAAUCAAAACAUAGAAAGAAUGAGAAAAUUUGUAAUCAGAUUGUAAUAGCGCAACUUACUGGAAAAAAUUCUUUAAAGGAAAAAAUGCAUGAAAUUAAAAGGAAAUAAAAUUGCAAACAAAAUAAAGCAAACACUAACAAAUUAUCAUAACUUACAAAAUUUCAAAGCAAUAUAAAUCUAUCCAUAAAGAGUAGUAAACAACCCAACAAGAUUAACACAACAAUGAACAAUAAAUAAUCAACCAAAGAAAAUCACUAACCGAAUAAAAUUUCAAGUGAAGAACAAGAAAACAUAAAGGGAAAAAAUGGAGAGGCAGACAAGAAGCAAUCUAACAUCAAAAGUAAUAUUAUUGGAGUUGAACUUGCUGGUCAAAUUUAUUUGUAAAAUAAAGCAAUAUAAACAGAUAAGAAUGAACAGACCCCAUUAACACAUAAACAUUAACAACUCCAAAAUGUAAUAAAAUGAAGAGGAGAUCAAGAUUGGAGUGCUACCAUAGGAAAUAGAGAAUGACGGAGAGGUCACUGGAGGACUGAGGUUCAGAGCUUGGAGCUCGUUUGGUCACUGGAUCUCGCCGACUUUGUCCACCGGAGUUGGUGUCGGCGUUGGUGAAGUGGACCGCUGCUCGCUCCAGUUCAUCAGAGCUAAAGGUCCUCGCCAGAGUUGUUGAGGCAGAGACGAACAGAACCGGGAGAGGGGUUUGGUAUUUGGGGAUUGUUUGAGCUGCUGGGUUUGGGGUCACUUUUGGUCGGAAAUGGGUGUGAUGGUCUUUCCGACAUGGAGUUGACCGGAAAUGGAGAAAGGGAGGGAGAGGUGUGUGGCUUCGCCAGACGGGAGAGAGAACAUGGGGUCUAGUUGUCGUUUUUGGGUCUGGUUUGCUGUUGCUUGGAGAGAGUUGUUGGUUGUUGUUGUUGGCUGUUCUCAGGCGGCUGUUCGGUGAAGGGAAGGAGGAAGGGAGCAACUUUGAGAAUAUGAUAGAAAAUAUCUUAGGUUUCACCUAUCUUGAAAAAUAUUUCCC
rnacentral:lncRNA from 1 species